GAACUGAAGAGUUUGAUCCUGGCUCAGAUUGAACGCUGGCGGCAUGCUUUACACAUGCAAGUCGAACGCGAAAGGGGGGCAACUCCUGAGUAGAGUGGCGAACGGGUGAGUAAUACAUCGGAACAUAUCCUGUAGUGGGGGAUAACCCCGAGAAAUCGGGGCUAAUACCGCAUACGACCUAAGGGAGAAAGCGGGGGACCCUAAGCAGAGCGCACACGCGCUAUGCGCUGUGCUUAGGGCCUCGCGCUAUAGGAGUGGCCGAUGUCGGAUUAGCUAGUUGGUGGGGUAAAGG
rnacentral:ncRNA from 1 species